GGCUGCGAUCAUACCAGCACUAAUGCACCGUAUCCCAUCAGAACUCCGCAGUUAAGCGUGCUUGGGUGAGAGUAGUACUAUGAUCGGUGACCUCCUGGGAAGUCCUCGUGUUGCACCCC
rnacentral:rRNA from 1 species